UACGUAGGGUGCGAGCGUUAAUCGGAAUUACUGGGCGUAAAGGGUGCGCAGGCGGUUGAUUAAGUCAGAUGUGAAAUCCCCGGGCUUAACCUGGGAGCUGCAUUUGAGACUGGUCGGCUAGAGUGUGUCAGAGGGGGGUAGAAUUCCACGUGUAGCAGUGAAAUGCGUAGAGAUGUGGAGGAAUACCGAUGGCGAAGGCAGCCCCCUGGGAUAACACUGACGCUCAGGCACGAAAGCGUGGGGAGCAAACAG
rnacentral:rRNA from 1 species